rnacentral:rRNA from 1 species
GGGUUGUGAGGUUAAGCGACUAAGCGUACACGGUGGAUGCCCUGGCAGUCAGAGGCGAUGAAGGGCGUGCUAAUCUGCGAUAAGCGCCGGUAAGGUGAUAUGAACCGUUAUAACCGGCGAUACCCGAAUGGGGAAACCCAGUGUGACUCGUCACACUAUCAUUAACUGAAUCCAUAGGUUAAUGAGGCGAACCGGGGGAACUGAAACAUCUAAGUACCCCGAGGAAAAGAAAUCAACCGAGAUUCCCCCAGUAGCGGCGAGCGAACGGGGAGGAGCCCAGAGCCUGAAUCAGCAUGUGUGUUAGUGGAAGCGUCUGGAAAGGCGCGCGAUACAGGGUGACAGCCCCGUACACAAAAGCGCAUGUGCUGUGAGCUCGAUGAGUAGGGCGGGACACGUGGUAUCCUGUCUGAAUAUGGGGGGACCAUCCUCCAAGGCUAAAUACUCCUGACUGACCGAUAGUGAACCAGUACCGUGAGGGAAAGGCGAAAAGAACCCCGGCGAGGGGAGUGAAAAAGAACCUGAAACCGUGUACGUACAAGCAGUGGGAGCACCCUUUGGGUGUGACUGCGUACCUUUUGU